GGCCUGGCUGAAUGGUCUUACUUCACUGUAUGUACUAUUUAGUCGGGUCUUUCCUUCUAGGGAACCUUGCGGUAUUAGUUUAUUGCAUGGGGAUCUAGGACUUUUACUUUGAAAAAAUUAGAGUGUUCAAAGCAGGCAUUUGCUCGAAUACAUUAGCAUGGAAUAAUAGAAUAGGACCUUGGUUCUAUUUUGUUGGUUUUCAGGACCGAGGUA
rnacentral:rRNA from 1 species